UCGGGGGAAACAAACUGUCCGCCCACUCUACAAGCGCGGCUGAUUGACGCCUAUGAGCAGACGCUUCAUACCGUCAGAUGUAUACACGUGUUCCACAUCCCACGGUUCAUACCACCUAUAAAUACCCAAAGAUUGGCUAGAGGCAAAGGUAAUGAAACUCUCAAUAGAUAGCACUCCAUAACAAGUUUAUAUAUUCUCCUCCCCCUUUAUUGACUGAUUGAUUUGUGUAGUCCCUGGACACUGUUCCGACCACCCAAACCUGACUUGACCGUCGGAGUGUAUACGGCC
rnacentral:lncRNA from 1 species